rnacentral:tmRNA from 1 species
CAUGUAGACGUCAUAGGUGGCUAUUUUUGGACUGGGGUUCAAUUCCCCACAACUCCACCA